rnacentral:tRNA from 1 species
GGUUGUAGCUCAGUGAUAGAGUGCUCGCCUUGCAUGCGUGAGGUACUGGGUUCGAUCCUCAGUACCA